UUGACAUGGCUAGUAUAGUUUCCAGAGAUGGAUUCUUUCAGUUCGGCUGGCUAGCACACAGGUGCUGCAUGGCUGUCGUCAGCUCGUGUCGUGAGAUGUUGGGUUAAGUCCCGCAACGAGCGCAACCCUCAUCCUUAGUUGCCAUCAUUAAGUUGGGCACUCCAAGGAAACUGCCGGUGAUAAGCCGGAGGAAGGUGGGGAUGACGUCAAGUCCUCAUGGCCCUUACGCGCUGGGCUACACACGUGCUACAAUGGCGGUGACAGUGGGCUGCAAACUCGCAAGGGUGAGCAAAUCUCCAAAAGCCGUCUCAGUUCGGAUUGUUCUCUGCAACUCGAGAGCAUGAMGGCGGAAUCGCUAGUAAUCGCGGAUCAGCAUGCCGCGGUGAAUACGUUCCCAGGCCUUGUACACACCGCCCGUCACACCAUGGGGGUUGGUUUCACCCGAAGGCAGUGCUCUAACCCGCAAGGGAGGAAGCUGACCACGGUGGGAUCAGCGACUGGGGUGAAGUCGUAACAAGGUAACCGUAAAUCGAA
rnacentral:rRNA from 1 species